rnacentral:rRNA from 1 species
CCUACGGGAGGCAGCAGUGGGGAAUAUUGGGCAAUGGGCGCAAGCCUGACCCAGCAACGCCGCGUGAAGGAAGAAGGCUUUCGGGUUGUAAACUUCUUUUCUCAGGGACGAAGCAAGUGACGGUACCUGAGGAAUAAGCCACGGCUAACUACGGGCCAGCCGCAGCGGUAAUACGUAGGGGGCGAGAGUUAUCCGGAUUUACUGGGUGUAAAGGGCGCGUAGGCGGUUAUGUAAGUCUGGAGUGAAAGCCCGGGGCCCAACCCCGGGACUGCUUUGGAAACUGGGUAACUGGAGUACAGGAGGGGCAGGCGGAAUGCCUGGUGUAGCGGUGAAAUGCGUAGAUAUCAGGAGGAACACCGGCGGCGAAGGCGGCCUGCUGGACUGAAACUGACGUUGAGGCUCGAAAGCGUGGGGAGCAAACAGGAUUAGAUACCCGAAUAGUC